CAUAUUAGGUAAUUAACACUAACACCAUCUCAACAAUUUUCAAAAUGUGCGUGUGUUUGAAUGCGGAGCUCUGUUGAACAGCGAGCUUCUUCUUUUACAUCUUUUGAAUAGCGAGACUUUUUCGCUUGCGCUUGACAGUUGCAGUUUGUUUUGAUUUUUAGUCUCGCGCAUUUUUUUUUUUUUGGCGCAGUGAAUUUACUUCUAAAAUAGUUUUUAUCUGUUUUUAUCAGCGAAAAACACCAAAAUUGAGGAAAAACCGGUCCACAGAAGCCGGCCAGGAACAACUCAUCAACGCACGCAUGCCCUAAUCUUCCGGCUUGUCUGCCGUUGUUCCUGACGUCCACUUGGAGUUGCGCCGGAAGUCAAGCAGCACCGAAACAAGACUUUUGCUACUUUGUACUUGUGGAAGUUUAAUUGUGGCGGGUUCGUGUACGAUACGGUGUCACGCCAGAUUUGAGGAAGUUUGGGGCUUCUUGUCCCGGCUGUCGUGUGUCGUUCGAAUAGUGCAACAAGCCAAAAAGGAAGAAGUGCUGUGGUUGGUGCGGCGGAAAUGCAUUAGUGGCCCACAACUGUGCAUCUUUCUGGCGCUGAAUGGUGCCACCGAACUCCAGCGGCCGCAGGUGGACAAACAGUAGCCUCCAUGUACUCGGUGACGUGCUUCUGGAAGUAACUCACGUGCAGCAAACGGUUGCAGCACAUAAAGAUCAACCCAAACCGCUGGUAGCUGCAACGUGGAUAACUCCUCUCGAAACAGGACGAAAAUCUCUACGCUAAUCGCUGUCAGACUCCGCCCAAACCGUUCCAGUUUAAGGGCUAAAUCGGCUAACGAAUGCUGAAUAACACUGGCACGGGCGGCGACCGCUAGGAAAGCACAAAGUCGGCUUUGUGGGCCGGUGAACCGGUGAGCAAAAAUCGGUCCACUGUUGCAUCGUCGAACAGAACUUGUCAGUGCUGGCGCUGAACAUCCGGCGGGAUGGUGUGAAGAGCAUUCCCGAACUGAAGGAUACGACCAUGCCGCGCCGUCUCGGACUGAAGCUUGCGACCAACAUCCGCAAGGAUGUCAAGGAAGGAAUCUUACCAAGGAGGAAGCCGUUCGUCAGUUUGUGAUGAAGUGCCCACUGCCGGAGAAGGCUAAGUUCAAAACGUCCAAGAACAACCGGCGUGGUGGUGCUGCAGCACUAGAGACGUCGUCUGGUCAGUUUCUGAACCUGUGCCGUCGGAGCAUAUGUGGGUGCCGGAGCCGAUUGUCUUCAAUGCGUGAAUCGCACAUCUCAGUCGGAUUCGAGAAGAAGAAGAACAAGGCUGUUAUCAACGCUGCUGAGUAGUUCCUCCAGAAGGUGACCGAAGCCGCCAAGAAGCGCCACGAGGCCAAGACCACCAAGAAGUUCGAAGGAGGCAGCAAGGAUUCCGCCGGGGACAAGAAAGAAAGAAGAUCGUGAAGAAGGUCGGGGCCGAGAAUGAGGUAUCCAAGAGGAAGCCAGAGAGGGCGAUUCUAUGCGCUGCCAAGAAGGAGAAGAAACAUAGGAAGUAAAACAAUGACCUGACUUGGUGCCUUUAUCUUAAUGGUGACACAGAGCUAGAAAAACCUACCACACUCUGCAGCUAUAGAAUAGACUUAGAUUAAUGGAAAACAUUACAACUCGAUAUUUCCUGUUGAAGCAAUAAA